AUUGAACGCUGGCGGCAGGCCUAACACAUGCAAGUCGAACGAGUGGCGGACGGGUGAGUAAUGUCUGGGAAACGGCCUGAUCGAGGGGGAUAACUACUGGAAACGGUAGCUAAUACCGCAUACCAUCGGAUGUGCCCAUAUGGGAUUAGCUAGAAGGUGGGGUAAAGGCUCACCUAGGCGCCGAUCCCAAGCUGGUCUGAGAGGGUUACCAGCCACACGGGAACUGAGACACGGUCCAGAGUCAUACGGGAGGCAGCAGUGGGGAAUAUUGCACAAUGGGCGCAAGCCUGACGCAGCCAUGCCGCGUGUAUGAAGAAGGCCUUCGGGUUGUAAAGUACUUUCAGCGGGGAGGCGUUACCCGCAGAAGAAGCACCGGCUAAAUAGGAGCCAGCAGCCGCGGUAAUUC
rnacentral:rRNA from 1 species